GGGCAAAGUUGUUUUAGCGAUCUGGUUGCAACUAAGGUAAACGUUUAUCAUGCAAAUAUUGCUCUCUCCUUGGCGAUACCUUGUUGGUAGAAGUAGAAUUUAAAAUAUAUUAUUGCCAUUUGCCAGCUGACCUGUGACACAGCAGCAGUGUAUUACAUUUUCAAUGAGCAGUCUGUCUGGAGCUGCUAGUGGGAGAAACUGCUUCCUGGUUUCUAGGGGAGGCAGAUGAUGAAUAAAUGAACAAAAAAUAUAAUAAUGGAUAUGUAUUUAUAAGUGCUAUGAAGAGAAGAAAUCCAAGCAAGAAGAGAGUGAAAUGAGGUAUCCUGUAAGAACAAAUUGCUGCCUCCUCCAGGUGGAAAGGGAUCAAAUAUAAUUAAUCUGUGUGUGCCACACAGUAGCUUGAUAGUUUAAUUGAGGAAUGUUGACAUAUUGAGAGCUCAGCAUUACUUUCUGCUAUCAGCAGUGACGCAUUUACUGAUCACCUACUCUGAGAAAUCACUCUCUAAACUCUGGGGAUGCAGUUCUGAGGAGGAUACAGUUCUGUCUUCAGAAAAUGCUGAUGGAAAUAAUUUUAAUGAACAGUAAUGGUAAAAGGAGAUAAACGAAAACAGAAUCAAUGUGUGCAAAGUGACAGAAAAGCCAGUGCCUGGGAUUCUGAGAUGCAGCCACAUCAUAAAGUUUCAUUACUCAAUUGCAGUAGAGAAAACCUCAAAGGAACCACUUCUAAUGGAAACUGCCUCAAUUCCUGGUCAAGUCUCACAGUCUAACCUGGAGGUGCUCUGAGAUGUGACUAAGUUAAGGAUUUUGAGAUGAAGAGACCAUCCUGAAUUAUCUGAGUGGGUCCUGAAUGUCAUCACAAGAAGCCUUAGAAGAGAGAAGCAUGAAAACCAGAAGAGGAGGAAGAGGCAACCGGGCCAUGAAGACAAGAGAUUAGAGUGAUGUGGCCACAAGUCAAGAAGUGCCGGCCUCCAGCAAAAAACUGGAAGUCAGGAGCAGGAUCUCUCCUAGAGCCUGUGGAGGGAAUGUAACCCUGCCAAUAACUUGAUUUUGGCCCAGAGAAACUGACUUCAGACUUCUGGCCUUCAGGAUGGCGAGAGAAUUAAAUCGCUGUUGUUUUUAGCCCAGUAUGUGGUAAUUUUGUUACAACAGCCACAGAAAACUAGUACAGUGGAUUUUUAGCAGUAGAAUUAAAUUAGCAGUGGAUUAAAGAGCAGUAGAAUUGUGAUUUUAUCAACACUUACUGGAUGGCAGAUUUCCUCUGCAGCAGAAGAGAAUAAAAUGUUGCCUAGGUGAUGCUGACCACCAAAACUUCUGCCAUGGACUCAGCAGUGUGAACAGACCCUGGGAAUCUAUGUACACAUAAAACACCAUGAACAUUUUGCAUUUUCUGAUUUGAACUGAAUAGGCGUUCUACUCUGUAAAUAUUUACAAAAAAACUAAAUAUAUAUUUAUGUUAACCCUUUGCUAGAGAUUUUUAAACAAACAAAAAAAUACCAGAUCUUAUUCACCAUUUUUGAUGUCAGUAAAGUGUGUUACGCAAAUUGGCUUCAAAAAUUAAAACCUGUAACAAACUUUGAGUCUUGAAAUGCAUGCUAUGUAUGAUCUUAAAAACAUGUAGGUAGGCUUAUUAGUUCAUAGAGGUUCAUAGUAUUUCAUAUGUUUUUCAGACUAUAUGUAGGGAAUUGCUGACAAAUCUUGGUAUCACUAAAUCCAUUAUCAUGUUCUGAAAUGUCACCAAAUUGAGCCUACAUAUUGUGAAGAGUGAGUGUAUGGCCAUAUAGUGUAUGGCCUCAAGAUUUUGUCUUAUAAUUUAAGUUUCAAUGUCCACACCUCAUCUAAAUUAGGGUACCAUUUGGACUAUCAUGUUUAAUAAAUUUACCACUAAGUAAUUACAUUAAAAACAAAUUUAUCUUAAAGAUGUAUAAAUUGUUUUCAUUGAAGAAGGUAGUUACUUUGGUAGCCUGUUAACAAAGCCCUGGGAAUUAUAAGACUGUAUUUUCAUGGAGGCAUACAUGUGUAGUAAUUGUAAAAUGGUUCUGUUUUCAUAUCUGGAUCUUUUAUAUGUGUGUCUGAAUUAAGAAAUUCCCAUAAUAAAAUAAAAUCUUAAUUUAGCAAAAUUAAUAUAUAGAAAGAAAUUUUAUAAAUCAUAGACUUUUAAGAUGAUCAAAUAACCUUGCUGAUCAUCUAGUCUCACACCUUUUUUGUAGAAGGCUAGACUAAAAUUCAUAAAUGUAAAUGAUCUCUCUAAAGGCAUAUGGCAAGCUAUUGGACACACCAGGAAUAAAACCCAGGUCUUGGCCGGGCGAGGUGGCUCACGCCUGUA
ensembl:lncRNA novel transcript